ACAAGAGAAGGGUUUUAUAGGUUUCAGGGUUCUGUGAUGGCAGCCAUUGUUCGCGGUUGGGCUUUUGCGCCUCACUGUGACAUUAUCUGGAUGGAAACCUCGAGCCCUGACUUGGUUGAGUGCACGAAGUUUGCACAAGGAGUGAAAUCCGUGACACCUGAAACCAUGCUGGCCUAUAACUUGUCCCCUUCUUUCAACUGGGAUGCAUCUGGUAUGACCGACCAGCAAAUGAUGGAUUUCAUUCCCAGGAUUGCCAA
rnacentral:lncRNA from 1 species